AUGACUUGCAAAAUAAAUGACGUAUUUAGUGACAUUUCAAUAGAUUCUUGAGAGAUUUGUUUCUUAUUUAUUUUUACUAGGUAAAUGAUUCUGGCUGCUGAAGACAAAUUAAAACUGGAUUUGCAGUACUGAAAAUACCUAAUGAAGAUCAACAUGAAGCUUUUCUUGGAGGCAUUGGACAUUGGCUGCAGCUAGAGCUGGAGAUUUUGACUGGGGUGUGCCGAUGUUCCCGCUGGGACUUAAACCCACAAUUUCCUGGCUAGAGAUAGAAGGAUCCUGUCAGGAAAAGGACUGCAGCAUUAACUCAAGUGCUUUCUCCCUGGCCUACUCUUCUGAAGCUGCAUUCUUUCUUGGCCAGCCCUCAGCCUGCUGUGGUUUCUCACAGUCUAGUCUGGAGAGUAGUUUUCCUUCUGGUGGCAAACUCCAAUAUAGUAUUACCACGAGGGGCAAUUUGUCUUCUACAAAAUAAAUGAUUUCUUGGCCUUUUUGGGACUUCAGGUGAACAUACUAAAAUACACUGCAGAUUGAAAGACUGUUUCUGAAUAGAUUAGCCUGGAAGGGGAUUGUAAGAACCUACUGUGAUGAAAUUCACUCCUACGUUGAUACCUGUAAGAGCAACAGGGAAAUUCCAUCCUUGGGAGAGAAAGGAGAGGGGGAAGGAAGGGGAACAUUGAUGCAUUUAGCCCUGGAACGACUUGUAUAUGAGAAGAUGGAAAAAAACCCAAACCUCAGUGGGUUAAAAAUCAGUCUUUUGUCAGAGGCACCUGCACAGGGGAACGAGACUAAGGUUUUUCUCCAAGAUCAGCACAAAAACCAUGUCCUGUGUUAACUGUGGCUUGGAUGCCAUGGACAGGAGUGCAUCCCUUGUGGCAGAAGGAU